ACUCUAUGAAUACAUCAGUAUCUCUGACUUCCAAUCAGAAAGUCUUAGUGAAAGCCUAAGAUAGAGUA
rnacentral:tRNA from 1 species